rnacentral:rRNA from 1 species
AUUGAACGCUGGCGGCAGGCCUAACACAUGCAAGUCGAACGAGUGGCGGACGGGUGAGUAAUGUCUGGGAAACUGCCCGAUGGAGGGGGAUAACUACUGGAAACGGUAGCUAAUACCGCAUACCAUCGGAUGUGCCUAGAUGGGAUUAGCUAGUUGGUGGGGUAACGGCUCACCGAGGCGACGAUCCCUAGCUGGUCUGAGAGGAGGACCAGCCACACUGGAACUGAGACACGGCCCCGACUCCUACGGGAGGCAGCAGUGGGGAAUGUGGGACAAGGGGCGAAGGCCUGAUGCAGCCAUGCCGCGUGUAUGAAGAAGGCCUUCGGGUUGUAAAGUACUUUCAGCGGGGAGGCGUUACUUGCAGAAGAAGCACCGGCUAACUCCGUGCCAGCAGCCGCGGUAAUAC